rnacentral:lncRNA from 1 species
AAUCAGCUAACAAUAUCCAAAUGAAAAGGACUUUUAGGCCUCCCAAGAUGUGCUUCACAGCCUCUUUUUAAUUGAAAGCCCUUUACAAAUGUAACCCAUAUUUCUGAUUUGAUCUUUUUCUAAAAGAUGAAGCUUUUGUUAUUAUAUCUGGUUCCCAUUCUAAUUCCACUCGGACCAGCUGCAAGCUCCAGAGCAGGUUCUCACUUCUGCACAAACCAACCCCAGGGGCCAGGCGCAGUGGCUCACGCCUGUAAUCCCAACACUUUG